GAUGAACGCUAGCUACAGGCUUAACACAUGCAGGUCGAGGGGCAGCAUUUUAGUUUGCUUGCAAACUAAAGAUGGCGACCGGCGCACGGGUGAGUAACACGUAUCCAACCUGCCGAUAACUCGGGGAUAGCCUUUCGAAAGAAAGAUUAAUAUCCGAUAGUAUAUUAAACCGCAUGGUUUUACUAUUAAGAAUUUCGGUUAUCGAUGGGGAUGCGUUCCAUUAGUUUGUCGGCGGGGUAACGGCCCACCAAGACUACGAUGGAUAGGGGUUCUGAGAGGAAGGUCCCCCCACAUUGGAACUGAGACACGGGUCCAAACUCCUACGGGAGGCAGCGGUGAGGAAUAUUGGGUCAAUGGGACGAGAGUCUGAACCAGGCCAAGUGCGUGAAGGAUGGGCUGCCCUAUGGGUUGUAAACUUCUUUUAUAUGGGAAUAAGUAUUCC
rnacentral:rRNA from 1 species